GGAAGGGGACGUCUCUGCAGAGCCGAGAUUUGGGCUCUGAAGCCCGACGGACCUUCAGCAUGCCUGUGCGGGAUAAGUGAGCUUUCGCGGAGUGAAGGGGCACGUCUUGUUCCUACCGACCGUGCUUCUACCCCCAGGCUUUGGUGAAUCUUGACACCCCAUUCUAAGUUUGGAUCAGCUUCCAACAUUUUAUCCUUUGCACUUUCAACCUUGUGAAGUAUCUCUGAGUAUCCAUUUAAGGUAAAGAUUUUUAAUGGCAUCAGUUCCUCUGGGAGAUCUUCAUCCUUUUCAUCGCUACAAGUUUUUGCAUUUAUGUUGGGUUUACACCUGAAUCCCGGUCCAAAGGCUGUCCCACCUCCUCUAACUCUUUCCCUUCUGGAUAUUUCCUUCAAUAAAUCUGUUGCACAUCUCACCUCAUUUUGGCAUCUGCUUCUCAAAGGUUUUUUAAUACAAGUAAUUCUGAGAGUGGUCCAAGAAAACAGGAGUAACAUGGAGUUUGGAACUGGAUCUGUCGCCACCUGGCAGGUGAAGAGA